rnacentral:tRNA from 1 species
AUGGAGCUUAGUGGUAUAGCACUUGCCUGGAGUGCAUGAGGCCCUGGGUUCAAUCCCCAGCAU